rnacentral:rRNA from 1 species
AACGAACGCUGGCGGCAUGCCUAACACAUGCGAGUCGAACGAGACCUUCGGGCUUAGUGGCGCACGGGUGCGUAACGCGUGGGAACCUGCCCUUAGGUUCGGAAUAACUCCCCGAAAGGGGUGCUAAUACCGGAUAAUGUCUUCGGACCAAAGAUUUAUCGCCUUUGGAUGGGCCCGCGUUGGAUUAGCUAGUUGGUAGGGUAAAAGCCUACCAAGGCGACGAUCCAUAGCUGGUCUGAGAGGAUGAUCAACCACACUGGGACUGAGACACGGCCCAGACUCCUACGGGAGGCAGCAGUGGGGAAUAUUGUACAAUGGGCGAAAGCCUGAUCCAGCAAUGCCGGGUGAGUGAUGAAGGCCUUAGGGUAGUAAAGCUCUUUUACCCGGGAUGAUAAUGACAGUACCGGGAGAAUAAGCACCGGCUAACUCCGUG